GCCUCGGUGGUUUAGUGGUAGAGCACGUGUCCCCGGUUAGGAUGAAACGCGGAUUCGAUUCCCGCCCGAGGCC